rnacentral:lncRNA from 1 species
AAAUCUGCAAAGAUUUGCCCCUUGAUCGGGCCUCGGGGCUCAUAUUUAAUAUCAAACUCUGACAACUCUACUGCCCACUUCACCAUCCUUCCCGCAACGUCAGGUUUCUUCAGGACCUUCUGGAUGGGCAGGUCAGUCAUCACCAGUAUUGUGAAGCUAUGGAAGUAGUGGCGCAACCUCCUCGCCGAAAAUACCACAGCCA